UACGUAGGGUGCGAGCGUUAAUCGGAAUUACUGGGCGUAAAGCGUGCGCAGGCGGCGCGUUAAGACAGGUGUGAAAGCCCCGAGCUCAACCUGGGAAUUGCAUUUGAGACUGCGUAGCUAGGGUGCGGAAGAGGGAAGCGGAAUUUCUGGUGUAGCGGUGAAAUGCGUAGAUAUCGGAAGGAACACCAGUGGCGAAAGCGGCUUCCUGGUCCAGCACCGACGUUCAGGCACGAAAGCGUGGGGAGCAAACAGG
rnacentral:rRNA from 1 species